rnacentral:rRNA from 1 species
CAGUAGCCACGGUAAUACGAAGGGUGCAAGCGUUAAUCGGAAUUACUGGGCGUAAAGCGUGCGUAGGCGGUUUGUUAAGUCUGCUGUGAAAUCCCCGGGCUCAACCUGGGAAUGGCAGUGGAUACUGGCAAGCUAGAGUGUGUCAGAGGAUGGUGGAAUUCCCGGUGUGGCGGUGAAAUGCGUAGAGAUCGGGAGGAACAUCAGUGGCGAAGGCGGCCAUCUGGGACAACACUGACGCUGAGGCACGAAAGCGUGGGGAGCAAACAGGAUUAGAUACCCGAGUAGUCCCUGUCUCUUAUAC